AGGAAGCUCAGUGGUAGAGUGCUUGCCUUGCAUGCAUGAGGUCCUGGGUUCGAUUCCUGAUUCCUA
rnacentral:tRNA from 1 species